UCUCUGGUAGUAUAUCGGUUAGUACACGCGCCUGUCAUGGUUUUUCUGAUCAGUCUCCGCGCGAAAGCUGGGUUCGACUCCCAGCCAGAGAG